rnacentral:lncRNA from 1 species
GUAACUCCGGCAUUCGGUGCCGAUGCUCUCCGUCUCUCUCCCAGGAAAAGGAGAUUAAAAGAAAGUUACUUGAAAAGAUGAGAAAAUCCAAUUCUCUCCCCCCUCUAACCAUCAGGAGACAGGAGGAAACGAGCAGCUGCUAAUGAAGAGAUUUUUAAAUUACUCUUCUUUGCCUGUCUCCUGUGUAAAAGAACAGAGGAAGAGCUGUUGUUAAAGGUAAAAUAAACCAGCAGUUUUAUUCAGUUGUGGGCGAGUUGGGGCUGUUUUAUUCAGGAUAUUUAGCUGCCACCAAUAACAGCAGUUGCACCUGUGGAGGGUGGAGCAGAUCUUUUGGGAAGAACAGCACACCAACUAAACUUUCUCUUGGAUUCUGCUCUCUGGUCCUGAAGGCAAGGAAACCAAAAUGAGGUGAGGAAGGGCUGUCCCCACAUUUAAAUAUGUUGUUUUUACAGGAGGGAAAGGGCUUUUCUCUGCAUUAUAAGGAGCUGGGCUUGUUGGGAGGUGGCAGUGACAGUGGCAAACAGCUUCAUUUUUCUCCUCUAGAGACAAAACACAGAAAGAAAUGCAGUUUGUCCGAGAUACAUUCCCACAAAUAAACCUUUUCUGCAGCAUGGCAGGGGGUUUUGUUUGGCUUGGCACUUGGGGAAAUGACUGAUUUCACUGCCACCAAAACGUGUCUAGGCGGUUCCACAUCCAUGCUCAUGGUGGCACCCUGGCUCUGUGAGCUGCAGAGGCACAGGAACUGAGCAGGAGAAUCCCCUGAUCCCCAGGAAUGGAGGAGAAAAAAUGUUGUUUUAAUUAAUCCUAUAUUAAUGAUAAAUUGUGUGUUAAUCUGAGAUUACUCUCAGCAAAGUUGCCACAAGCUGCUUUAGUGGGAUGACAGCAGGGGAAAAUGGCUGAAACUUGAACUUGUUUAUAAACUAACUCUGAUGUGCUCCAGUGACCAAAGGCUGGGAGAGGAAGAUGGAUUGGUGUAGACACCUGGAAUGCAGAAUUUAUGGACCACAAGGACGCUUUGCAGAAAGCAGAAGCUGCAGGGCCUGGAGCUUCACUGCUGCCUUCAGGGCAGGGGGAACCUGGCUGGGAAAGAGCCUGCAGGGGCAGGAUGGGGUAAAAUUGGAGAAUUUUCCUUGGAUGGUUACUGCAAGCACCUUUUUAAUUCCUGGGGGGCUUUUUGUGGUUUGUGGUUUGGUUUUUUGUUUGUUUUUGUUGUUGGUUUUUUUUGUUUGUUUGUUGGUUUUGUUGUUAUUUUGUUUUGGUUUCUUUUUUGUGAUUUUUUUUGUGUGUUUUUUUUUGUUGUUGUUGUUUUCUGGAGUUGUUUGGUUGGUUGGUUUUGGGGUUUUUUUGGUUUUUUGGGUUUUUUGUUAUUUUGUUUUGGUUUCUUUUUUGGGUUUUUUUGGGUAUUUUGUUUUGGGGUUUUUUUUGGCUUUUGGGAUUUUUUGUGGUUUGUUUUUGGGGUUUUUUGGGGGGGGUUUUUUGUGGGUUUGGUUUUUUGGGUUUGGGGUUUUUUUUGUCGUUUGUUGGUUUUUGGGGUUGGGGUUUUUUUGGGUGUUUAGGGUUUUUUGGGGGGUUUUUUUGGUCUGGUUUUUGGUGGUUUUUUGGUUGUUUUCUUGGGGGUUUUUUUGCUUGUUUGGUUUUUGGUUUUUUUUGUGGUUUGUUGUUUUUUGGGGUUGGGGUGUUUUGGGUUUUUUGGUUUUUUUGGGUUUGGUUUGGUUUGAUUUUUUUUUAUGGGUUUUUUUUUCUCUCCCUUUUGAAGUGGACCUGUUAUUUGUGCUAUCCCAGAUUUCUGCACUCCACAGCCUGGUCUCCCUCAGGAGAGCUCUUUAUCCCACUGAGGAGCAGAGGUGCUGCUGCUGUGCUCCCUCCUUGGGCUCAGCCUUGCU